AGGAAAACUUCAUGGUUCCUGCAGAUGGUGUUUAAAACUAUUGGCCAGUGAACACAAACCCAUUUAAUUAUAUUUUGAAUCUUCACCAGGAGAAAAAAGAUGGCAGUACUUCUAAUGCAAGCAGCUACUAGGGAAGAUUUAAUGAAGGAAGAUGAGGAAGUGGAGAAAAAGCUGAAGAACAAGGAGGACAAGGUGAAGAAAGGACAAGGGCACAGUGACUUGCAGUGUGUGUCAUGUAACAUUAUUACAACAUCUAUAUCAUGGGUCCAUAAUUUUGAGUAAGUCAUUCAUCAACCACUUUAUCUGUACUGGAAACCAUUUCUGAGAGGGAUGAAGUGAUGGAAGAUAAUGAGCCAGAGGGUGGAACGGAAGAGAAAGGGAAAGAAAUAAAGAAAAAGGCAGAAUGAAAAAGGACUAGAACUUGCAAUAGAAGAAAGAGUUGAGGAAAUGAAGAGGAAGAAAUUGAAGAUGAAAAGAAGAGCUCUGGGAGGAAAAAAUUCCAUUUGUAAGAUGUGUGGACAAAAGAAAAACAGCCAUAGAGUGCCAAUGUGGAGUGGAAUAAGUCAGUAUGACUUAAACAUGGUCAAUUGAAGUGUUUGAAUGCCCCUCCAGAAAGCAGAACAAUCUUUGAAUUUGCAGGAAAGAGUAUAAAAUUUGCUGUUAAAAUAUCAUAACAGCUAGACAAAGAUUAAAUAACAACUACAUGUACAUCUAAAGAAUUCUUUUGUCAUAAUAGUGAUUCAUGUGCUAGUACAUGUGACAAGUGCUAUAACGACCUAAUAUAAGUGUGUUUUAGGAGCAUGUUGACUCUAUUGUAAAUGUAUUGACUCCUUAUAUGACCUCAUUUAUAUAUAACAUUAUAUGAAUGGUAGUGUAGUGACUUGAAAUGUGUGUUAGUAGUAUAGCUCGUUAUGUGUGGUAAUUUUGUUAUUUGUUUUACAUGUAUGAUAGUACAUAUAGUAUGGUGACUCAUGUGUUGGGAAUUAAUGUAUAAUUUUAUGUGUGUUACUGGUAUAACUCAUAAUGUGUGUAAAUAUUGUUUUUUGUAAUACAUAUUAGUAGUGUAGUGACUCGACAUGUGUGUAAGUAGUGUAGUGACUCGACAUGUGUGUUAUGAGUGUAGCUUAUGAUGUGUGGUUAUUUUGUGUACGUAUGUAGUAUGGUGAUUCAUGUGUUAGGAAUGUAUAAUUUUAUGUAUGUUACUGAUAUGCCUCAUCGUGUGAUUUAAAAUGGUUAUUUGUAAUGUAUAUAUUAGUAGUAAAGUGACUCAACAUGUGUGUUAGUAGUGUAGUGACUCGACAUGUGUGUUAGUAGUGUAGCUUAUUAUGUGUGGUAAUUUUGUUAUUUGUUAUGUGAGUUGUACAUGUAGUAUGGUGACUCAUGUGUUGGGAAUGUAUAAUUUUAUGUGUGUUACUUGUAUAACUCAUUGUGUGUGUUUUAAUAUAGUUAUUUGUAGUGUAUAUAUUAGUAUUGUAGUGACUCCACAAGUAUGUUAGUGUGUAGUGACAUGACAUGUGUGUUAGUAGUGUAGUGACUCGACAUGUGUGUUUGAAGUGUAGCUUAUUAUAUGUGGUAUUUUUGUUAUUUGUUAUGGUUGUUGUAUAUGUAGUAUGGCAACUCAUGUGUUGGGAAAGUAUAUUUUAAUUUGAUGUGUGUUACUGGUAUAGCUCAUUGUGUGUUUUAAUAAUUUUUUUUGUAAUGUAUAUUUUAUUAGUGUAGUGACUCGACAUGUGUGUUAGUAGUGUAGUGACUCGACAUGUGUGUUAGUAGUGUAGUGACUCGACAUGUGUGUUAGUAGUGUAGCUUAUUAUGUGUGGUAAUUUUGUUAUUUGUUAUGUGUGUUGUACAUGUAGUAUGGUGACUCAUGUGUUGGGAAUGUAUUAUUAUAUUCCUGCUCCAAAAGAUACUGUUUUACCCUUGUCUGUCUAGCUGUGUGUGUGUCUGUCUGACUGUCCAUAACAAAUUUUUGGUCACAGUUUUCUCAGCAACUACUCAUUGCAGAUGCUUGAAAUUUUAGCAUACUCUUUGUUUAGGCUUGGUGGGAAUCAUUUUCAUACAAAUCUGAUGUCAACUUCCUGUUUAUCCAUUUGU